GCCGAAAUAGGGGAUCUCCAAUCCCUUCGUUGGCUAGCCGACCGGCUGCACAACUGGCAUGGGACGGUAGUCGGCACGAGGAGGGCGACCUGGCGGCAAGAGGACCCAGUCGGUGGCUGGCGACGACCACCGCACCUACACAUUCAAAAAGGACCGAAUCCCUUUCUCAAAGAAAUCCGAUGACUUCGGUCGCCGGCGAGCAUGCACACCGGCAUGGGAAGGAAAGGGGAGAAGAGAGGAAGGAGGAGAAGGCUCACCUUUGAUGCCGGCGAGGCUUUCCGGCGAGAAAAUUAGACGGGCACAGGUCGGUCUUUUGCGAUGAUUUUCCGACGAUUGCCACCGAUGGACUUCGGGAUCUCCGGUGAGAGGGAGAGAGGAGGGUUCUCCUCCUUAAAUAGAGCUGGAGAGGGCUCUUUCCGACUGGUGAUUGGGAGACGGUGAGCGGAGGAAGAAGACUCCCUUCGGGAGUCUUCUCCUCUGUUUUCCCUUUCUCUUUUUUUUUUUGUUGUUUGGGCUUUGUGGGCUUGUUACAUGGGCUGGGCCAUCAGAAAGCCACACCGCCUUUUUCAACUCAUUCAGUGGUGCUGAUGUCAAUUUUCAUUUUCUGGGUUGUUAUUGUAAGAUUGUAAUUUUAGUUGAGAUGAUAAGUCUAGUGUUUUCUCCUAAUUAGAGUUUAAUAAUCUGUUAUUUGAGAAGGUUGUAGUCUUAUGACCAAAAAAUUGGGGAAAAUGCUUUGGGGUGCCUCACGUGCAUACGGAUCCAUUUAUGCUGGCUCGAAAACUUAGGACUCGUUUGGUUUGUCGGAGGGGAAAGUGGUAAUUUUUGGAAAGUGAAAGAGGUAAUUUUUAGAAAGUGAAAGAAACUCUUUUUGUUUUAUUAGAGUUUUAGAGGGA
rnacentral:lncRNA from 1 species